CGGCGUGCCUAACACAUGCAAGUCGAGCGCGAUUAAGUGGAGUGGCGACUUCGGUCAAAGCGAAACUUAUGAAAGCGGCGGACGGGUGAGUAACGCGUGGGCAACCUGCCCCAUACAGAGGGAUAGCCACUGGAAACGGUGAUUAAUACCUCAUGAGUCAGUAAGGUCGCAUGAUCUAGCUGACAAAGAUUUAUCGGUAUGGGAUGGGCCCGCGUCUGAUUAGCUAGCUGGUGAGGUAACGGCUCACCAAGGCGACGAUCAGUAGCCGACCUGAGAGGGUGAUCGGCCACACUGGAAUCUGAGACACGGUCCAGACUCCUACGGGAGGCAGCAGUGGGGAAUAUUGCACAAUGGGCGCAAGCCUGAUGCAGCAACGCCGCGUGAGUGAAGAAGGCCUUCGGGUCGUAAAACUCUGUCCUAUGGG
rnacentral:rRNA from 1 species